UACGUAGGGCGCAAGCGUUGUCCGGAAUUAUUGGGCGUAAAGAGCUCGUAGGCGGUUUGUCGCGUCUGCUGUGAAAGCCCGGGGCUCAACCCCGGGUCUGCAGUGGGUACGGGCAGACUAGAGUGCAGUAGGGGAGAGUGGAAUUCCUGGUGUAGCGGUGAAAUGCGCAGAUAUCAGGAGGAACACCGAUGGCGAAGGCAGGUCUCUGGGCUGUAACUGACGCUGAGGAGCGAAAGCAUGGGGAGCGAACAGG
rnacentral:rRNA from 1 species